AUGCAGCAACUAGGAGAAUUUGUGACUCUCUGGGAGCAGAUCGGGAAGGCAACCCUUCAGCCUGCCCAAGAGGACUGCAUUCGCUGGAAUUUAACCACCUCAGGGGCGUAUUCCGUGGCUUCGGCCUACGGCGCACAAUUCUUCGGCUCCUAUGCACGGUUCGACACGACGAAGGUCUGGCACGCAAACGCUGAGCCUAAAUGCAAAUUCUUCGCCUGGCUCAUUCUUCAUGGGAGAAUCCUCACCGCGGAUAUACUGGCUGUGAGGGGAUGGCUUCAUGACCCCAGGUGCCUGCUAUGCCUCCAAUAG
rnacentral:rRNA from 1 species